AUUUACAUGACCAAAAUCGAGCCUAUAUUUUUAUUCUGACAUCACUAAAAAACGGCCAACAAUCGGCUAUUGCAAAAAUCAGCUAGGAUUUCCAGCCAUCAGCUAGAUGAUAUUUUUUCCAGCUAGACAAGUAAAAACUCAGCUAGAUCUAGCUGGAAAUCAGCUAGGCUGGCAACACUGACGAUAAGAGCAAAGUCCGAUAAUAAGAACUAAGACAUCAUUUAUGCCUGUUCUGAUAGGCUGCUAAAUUUUUAUUUUUAACGCUGGAGGAAGUAGUUCCUAAUAAAGACAUAUCUUCUUUGUAUAAAACACACAACCUCAAUGACAGUUAUAGAUAAUCAAUUCAUAUCUUUUUUGGCAAGUGCAUUAGUAAGGCAAUGAAAUACUCUACUAAUCAAUCAAUGGGCUCUUUAAUGAACACAAGUUAUUAAAUUUAAAUUAAUCGAUAAUAUCUGUUGGCCUUAACAAGGUUGAAGUGCCCCAAACUAUUAAAUAAAGAAAUCCAGGACGACCUAGAGAAAUGAGGAGAGAAGAGACGUGGAAGAAUAAGAUAAAAUUGUAACUUGUAUCUUCCCCAUGCUGGUGGUACUGAGCUAUUGACUAUGUAUUGAUUGGACGCGAUGGGCAACUCGGAUAUUAGAAACCAGAAGAAAAAUGAAGUUACUUUGUCGCACCUUGUAUGUGAAAGGUCAUAUCAGAGUCAAAUUAAGUAUCCCAAAUCAAAUGAUGGUUUUAAACUAUAGCUAACACUCUUGGGGAUCUCAACUCAUCCUAGAAAUUUAUAUACAAAAUAAAUAUAAAGAAGAAAUAAGGCCACCAAAUUAGAAGUAAAAAAAAGUAAACAUUUCACAUUUAUAAUAAAGAUUGCUUUUAGGGUGAUGUGCCACAACAGGGGCGUAACCAGGGGAUGGGCUGGAGGUGUGGAUUUUUUAAAUGGUAGCCGGACUUUAUGGAGACAGUGGACUAUAUGGAGACAACCAAUCAAAUCACUUUCUCUAUAAAGUCCCUGAGCGGACUAUAUGAAGACAACCAAUAAAAUCACUUUCUCUAUAAAGCCCCUGAGCGGACUAUAUGGAGACAACCAAUCAAAUCCUUUUAUACUGAUCAUAAAAAUAUUGAUCAAAUCGGUAGUUCGAACCGAAACUUUAAAAAAAGGAAGAAUUUGGCUAAUCUAGCUGCAAGAAGAAAGGAAGAGAAAAGUAGCAAACCAAUAAUUUGAAAUCGUAUUGUAAUUGUUCAAUUCAAAUCAAAGAUUCUGACGGAUUCGUUUUUGUUAAAUGUAGCAGUCGUCAUGUGGUAGGUGGAUUACAGAUAGAAGAAGAGCCCAAUUAAUUCGCUCAGUCACUUCAACAAUCCAUAGAUCGAGAUCAACUCGUCAAGAGUUCCCUAGAUGGAUGGAUCAUGUUUACUGCCUACCUAUGCGAGUAGCAUGCUUUGUGAAAACGAUUCGUCUCCAUCCGAAGAUACCUUGCUAUGGAUUGCUGUCAAACAGAGUUUCUUUUAAUGAACACCAACACCAAUUAUUACGAAUUAUGCAUAUAUAUUAAAUCAAAUAGUAACACAAUACAAAUUCUAAAUCGUAAACUCUAUUAGCGUAGUAGUAUCAUGAAGAUCAGGAACUGUAGGUGCUUCUAGGAGAGGAGAGUCACGAAAUUGUGGUGGAGGAAGAUGUACUAAAUCAAUUAUAUUGAUGGAAUAGUUGUGGAAGGACAUUAUGAGUUUUAUAUAUUAUAUACGAGUGUUUUUCGUACUUAUAAUUAAACAAUUAUUUCAACAGCUAAACGAGUUGUUGUUAUUGUAUCCAUAAAAUUAUUCCGUGUAGGAGAAUUUGCCAUGAACAUUUUUGUUAAUAUUGAGCGAUAUACUUUUAAUGAUAAAUACAACUUCUUUUAAAAGAGAAGUUAAUUUUAAAUAUGCCAUAAUUUAUUAUAUUAUACAAAGGAAUCUUAAUGAAACUUUUGAAAUUCAGCACCAUAACUUUAAAAUUGAAAGUAUUUUUCGGUAAUCUGAUUUUCUGUUAUGUAUUGAUGAAAAAUAUACAUUUGAAAAGGUUUAGUCUUCCAGUGCCCUUUUUGUAACCUCUAGUUAUUUGAAAAUAAGAUAUUUUUAAUAUAAAUUAUAUAUUUGUAAAGGGAUUAAGAAGUUUCAGUUUUAAAGUUAUGGUGCUGAAUUUCAAAAUUUUCAUUA
rnacentral:lncRNA from 1 species